GGAUCGGUAACUCAAUUGUCAGAGUGUCUGCCUCUUAAGCAGGAAGUUAUGGGUUCAAGUCCCAUCCGAUCCA
rnacentral:tRNA from 1 species